rnacentral:tRNA from 1 species
UGGACUGGUAGCUCAGUUGGUAGAGCAGGGGGCUGAAAAUCCCUGUGUCGGAGGUUCGAAUCCUUCUCAGUCCAUUAG